CCUACGGGUGGCUGCAGUGGGGAAUAUUGGGCAAUGGGCGCAAGCCUGACCCAGCAACGCCGCGUGAAGGAAGAAGGCUUUCGGGUUGUAAACUUCUUUUAUCAGGGACGAAGCAAGUGACGGUACCUGAUGAAUAAGCCACGGCUAACUACGUGCCAGCAGCCGCGUUAAUACGUAGGUGGCAAGCGUUAUCCGGAUUUCCUGUGUGUAAAGGGCGUGUAGGCGGGAGUGCAAGUCAGAUGUGAAAACUAUGGGCCCAACCCAUAGCCUGCAUUUGAAACUGUCCUUCUUGAGUGCGGGAGAGGCAAUCGGAAUUCCGUGUGUAGCGGUGAAAUGCGUAGGUAUACGGAGGAACACCAGUGGCGAAGGCGGAUUGCUGGACAGCAACUGACGCUGAGGCGCGAAAGCGUGGGGAGCAAACAGGAUUAGAUACCCCAGUAGUC
rnacentral:rRNA from 1 species